GAUGAACGCUGGCGGCGUGCCUAAUACAUGCAAGUCGAGCGAACGGACGAGAAGCUUGCUUCUCUGAUGUUAGCGGCGGGCGGGUGAGUAACACGUGGAUAACCUACCUAUAAGACUGGGAUAACUUCUUGAAACCGGAGCUAAUACCGGAUAAUAUUUUGAACCGCAUGGUUCAAAAGUAAAAGACGGUCUUGCUGUCACUUAUAGAUGGAUCCGCGCUGCAUUAGCUAGUUGGUAAGGUAACGGCUUACCAAGGCAACGAUGCAUAGCCGACCUGAGAGGGUGAUCGGCCACACUGGAACUGAGACACGGUCCAGACUCCUACGGGAGGCAGCAGUAGGGAAUCUUCCGCAAUGGGCGAAAGCCUGACGGAGCAACGCCGCGUGAGUGAUGAAGGUCUUCGGAUCGUAAAACUCUGUUAUUAGGGAAGAACAUAUGUGUAAGUAACUGUGCACAUCUUGACGGUACCUAAUCAGAAAGCCACGGCUAACUACGUG
rnacentral:rRNA from 1 species